CUACCAUAUCCUCCGGUAUUGAAACAGCUGACCUGGAUCAUUCUCGGACCCUACCCUCACCAUCCACAUCUUCUUCCUCCACUACCAUGGAUGUAGCAGACACAGGGUCUGAUAAUGAAAGCAGUGUGGGUCCUACUUCAAAGGAGAGGAGAGACCUGCUUGAUGCAAAACUAAAAGGACACAGACACGACCGUCUGAGGAGAAAGCUGCCUGCUGAGACCCAGUGGCUGAAUGCUCUUGAGGAAGACCAGCGUGUGAAAAAGAGACUGGUGGAAAUCAUUGAGACAUCAGAACAAAAAGCAUCCGAAAACUAUUCAAAAAUGUCCAAUACACUGGAAAGACUUACCACAUCGAUUGUUGAUGGGUUUUCUCUUCUGAAACAGGUCAUUCAUGCACCUGCACAACCACCACACUACAUGCCAUAUGAGC